rnacentral:misc_RNA from 1 species
GUUUAAUAGACCAACACAAUUUUCUUUUGCAUUCAUAUUUUCUUCAAGUGGUAAAAACUUAAAAUUUCUCCAUGCAUUAGGGGCUUUAUUAUGCUUUCUUACUCACAUCAUGCUUAUUAUUGCUGCUUGUCAACAAAAAAUGUAUUUAAUUAGAAGGAAUCUUACUUAUGCAUAAGAUUGGUGGGUAGUUGUAGAAUUUUAAAAAUAUUUCCAUUAUCAGAAAUGGUAAAUUUCAUGCUGGCUAAAUAAAAGCAUUGUUUCUAUCUGACCAAAUUGUGAAAAUAUUUACUGUUAAUGGCUUAAUUCACUCUUUUAUUUAUUAGAAAUGAAUGAUGAUGGGCUUGCUAAUAGCCCAGUGUUGUAAUUCUUUGACAUGCAUGAAAAAGUUUCCAAGACUUAUUUCAUGGAACUUAAUGGUGAUUAGGGGUGAGUAUUCGGUUCAAACCGAACCGAAUUGAAUCGAACCGAAUUAAAUUAUAA